rnacentral:rRNA from 1 species
AUGCAGAGGUGCCUACUCAAGCUCUGGGGGAUGUUGCAAGCAAAGGAUGAAGAGAUAAGCAGGCUUAAAAUGGAUAUUGAACAAGUGAACCUUAAGCUCGAGAACCUUGUUGCAGCCGUGGAAAGAAGUAAUGUAACUACCAUGAAGAUUGACAGGAAGAAGAAGCAGAUGGGUAUCAUUGAUAAAGACGUCAAGCGCAUUCAGGGGUCUCUCACAAGUGCCAUUCAUAAUGUUAAGGACGACAAGGGUGAUAUUAAGCUGGACAGUGAUUUUCUGAAGGAGGAGGUGCAUAAGCUGAAGGAGAAUAGAAGCAAGAUGCAAAGCGCCAUCUGUGAUCUUUUGGGGCAAGGGUUUGCGAACACUGAUGACCUCCUGAUGAUCAAGGCAAUCCUCAAAGAAUGA